ensembl:snoRNA small nucleolar RNA SNORA13
UGCCUUUAUGUGUUGCCCAUUCAGUGCUCUCCACAAUGAAUGUGGUGUCAACAAAGGCAUACAGCAAAGCUUGGGUCGGCCUUAGCAAGGUCCCUCCUCGGUUGCCUUGUCAUAAGUUCUACACCAAGUACAAUA